rnacentral:tRNA from 1 species
ACUCUAAUAGUUUAUAAAAACAUCGGCCUUGUAAGCCGAAGAAUGAAGAAUAUGCCCCUUCUUAGAGUU